GUGCAGGAACCCUCACCCGCCCGAGCGGGGCCCUGGGCCUCCGGGUCACUCUCUGUGGCGGGGUCUGGCUGCGCGUCAGACGGCCUCCUCCAAUGCCCGCAGUUGCUGUCGCCCCCAGGCCUGGACCGGGGAGUGAGGGGUGGGCCUGACCGGCCCCUGAGCUCCCGUCAGCCCCCCACGCGAGCCCGUCCUGUGCUGGGGGCAGGGAGAUGGGCCGGUGGGAGAGGAGACCGCAUCCAGCCCUCCCUGGCCACCUGCAGGGUCCCCACCGUGGCGGCUGCUUUACUGCUAACUCCUCCCGGGGACCCCAAGUCCCCAUCGCUCUCGGGGGUCCCCCUCAUCCGAACCGCCUCGGAGGAGGGCCGCAUCUCACGCGGAGCACCCCUCCACGCCUGUGACCCUGGACUUGCUCUCCCGCCCCCGCCCGGGCCUCAGGGCUCAGGAGGCCGUGAUGAAGCCAGCAGGUGAACUGCACCCUGGAGCCUCCGACGGGGCGGCCACGGGCAGCGAAGAACCCGGAAAAACAGUACCCUUCUGAGGUUAAUCCGCGUUGAUAGAAGCAGGUGUGGUUCAUCUGGAAUCUGUUGGUGUGAACUGCGCGGCGGCGUCCCCCACCAGGCACCACAGCGGGCGCCUCUUGGUAGCAGCCACCGGCCUCUUCUGGGACUCGCCGGAGGGUUUCCACGUCGCCCGCUCCGACGGGGCUGUUCAUCUCCCCUUGAUCUGUGGGACUCCCCGUCCGUCUCAGGUAUGACCCCUUUGUUGGUGAUCUGGGUUGCAGAUAUCCCCUCUGUGUCUGUGGCUUGUCUCGCUGCGUUGUUUAUGGUGCGCUUUUGUCAUGCAGACGUUUCUAAUUUUGCUCUGUCUGGACUUGGCAAUCUUUCUGUUCGUGAUUUGUGCUUUUGGUGUUUAUGUACAAACUCUUUCCCGGUCCAGAAAGCAUAAAAAAGUUUGCUUUGUGCGCUGAGGUCUCUAAUCCAUGUCACAGGAAUUUGUGGCGGGUUGGGGCAGAGGCUUUGCUUAGCGUUUUCCAUCAGGUGAGCCCAUUUCCCCAGAUUGACUGCACAGCCCGUGCUCCGCAGGGUCCCACACUGGCCUCUCUGAGAGGCUGUGUUGCUAGACCUCCAUCUACUCAAAGCUUCCGGGUGAUGAAUGGGGAGAUUUGAGUUUCUGGAAGCCAAGGGGAGGGGCACAGGAUUGCAGGAGCAGAGAGAGGUGAGGAGGGCCUGGGGUGACAGGUGGCUGCCCCACUCAUAGGUGGCCAGAUCCCGGGGAAGGGGUGGCAGGUGGGGAACUCCUGGGGGGUGCAGUGGGAAUAAUACAACAAACCAAGACUCAAGACCAGCCUGGGCAGCACGGCGAGGCCUGUCUACUAAAAAUACAAGCAUUAGCCCGGUGUGGUGACGCAAGCCUGUCAUCCCAGCACUCUGGGAGGCCAAGGUGGGAGAGGGGGGUCACCUGAGGUCAGCCUGGGCAACAGGGCGGAACUCCGUCUUUACUAAAAAUUCAAAAAUUAACCGGGCGUGGUGGCAGGUGCCUGUAAUCCCAGCACUUGGGGAGGCUGAAGUGGGCGGAUCACUUGAGGUCAGGAAUUCGAGACCAGCCUGGCCGACACGGUGGAACCCCAUCUCUACUAAAAAUACAAGAAUUAGCAGGGUGCAGUGGCUGACGCCUGUAAUCCCAGCACCUUGGGAGGCCGAGGCGGGCUGAUCACCUGAGCUCAGGAGUUUGAGACCAGCCUGGCCAACAUGGCGAGACCCUGUCUCUACUGAAAAUACAAAAUUAGCUGGGCGUGGUAGCAGGCACCUGUAGUCUCAGCUACUCAGGAGGCUGAGGCAUGAGAAUCAUUUGAACCCAGGAGACGGAGGUUACAGUGAGCCAAGAUCACACCACUGCACUCUAGCCGGGGUGACAGAGCAAGAUUCUGUAUCAAAACAAAAACAAAUGAAGAAAGGAGACAUUCCAAAGGGAAGGACAGCAUUCAGGUUCUGUUUUUGGGGUUCUGUGAUGAUAUAAGCAUCCUUCAUUCCCUCAAAAGCUUCCCAUAGGUCUACUGCGUACACAAAGGCCUUGUUUGAGGGUUGGUCUUCAAGGCGGGCGAGCACAGGGCCUCACGUUGGGGCACCCAGCUCCCUGCCAGCCCAGCCUAUCCGACCCGUGAGACCUCUCUGCCCUCAGGUCCCCCCGCCCCAGGAAGUGAGGCGUGUGAAGUAAGGUAGGGGAGAUGGGGGAGUGGGGUGGAGGCAGUGGGCUUGUGUCGUCAAAGUCAGCCCAGGCUCACCAUCUACCUGCUAUGCCAGCAAGGGUCCCAGAGGGGCCCAGGCUCACUCAAGGCUACGUGGCAAGUUAGAAGAGUGAGAAGCAGGGCUGGUGAGGCUACUCACACCUAUAAUCUCACUGCUUUGGGGGUCCAAGGCAAGAGGAUCCCAUGAUCCCAGGAGGUUGAGACCAGCCUGGGCAACAUAGCAAGACUCUAUCUCUGUAAAAUUUGUUUAAAAAAUUAGCUGGGGGGGGCAUCAGGCGCGGUGGCUCACACCUGUAAUCCCAGCACUUUGGGAGGCCGACGUGGGCGGAUCACAAGGUCAGGAGAUCAAGACCAUCCUGGCUAACACGGUGAAACCCUGUCUCUACUAAAAAAAAAAAAAUACAAAAAAAUUAGCUGGGCGUGGUGGCAGGCACCUGUAGUCCCAGCUGCUCGGGAGGCUGAGGCAGGAGAAUGGCGUGAACCUGGGAGGUGUAGCUUGCAGUGAGCCGAGGUCACGCCACUGCACUCCAGCCUGGGUGACAGAGCGAGACUCUGUCUCCAAAAAAAAAAAAAAAUUAGCUGGGGGUUGGCAGCCCCAGCACUCUGGGAGGCCGAAGCAGGAGGAUCACUUGUGAUCAGGAUUUCAAGACCAGCCUGGCCACGAUGGUGAAACCCACAUCUCUACUAAAAAUACAAAAAUUAGCCAGGUGUGAUGGUGCACGCCUAUAAUCCCAGCUACUGGAGGCAGGACAAUCACUUGAACCCAGGAGGCAGAUGCAGUGAGCUGAGAUCAUGCCAUUGCACUCCAGUCUGGGUGACAAAGCCAGACCCUGUCUUUAAAAAAAAAAAAAAAAAAAAAAAAAGCCAGGCAUGGUGGUGCACACGUGAUCUCAGUUACUCGGGAGACUGAGGCAGGAGAAUUGCUUGAACCUGGGAGGUAGUGGGUGCAGUGAGUCAAGAUCACGCCACUGCACUCCAGCCUGGGCGACAGAGCCAGACUCCAUCUCAAAAAAAAAAAAAAUAUAUAUAUAUAUAUAUAUGUAUAUAUAUAGCUGCGUAUGCUGGCAUGAACCUGUAGUCCCAGCUACUCAGGAGGCUGAGAUGAGAGGAUCACUUGAGCCCAGGAGGUCGAUGCUGCAGUAAGCUAUGAUCACACCACUGCACUGCAGCCUGGGUGACAGAGAGAAACACUCAGAAAAAAGAAAAGCUAGGGGCCGACCCCAGACUCUGUGCUCCCAGAGGCAGCUCUGCCUGUGCAGGACAGCAGCCACGGCCGAGGGUGGGGACGCCUGGAGAUGCCCAGUGAUGCUGCCCCGGCGUCUUCUCCUCCACCCGGCCCUCCUCCUCACUCAGUCCCUGGGCUCACACCUCACACCACGGGGACAUGGGGUACAAUGCGGAUGCUCAGGUAGGAGUUAGAGGCUCGGGCCCCAGGGAAAUGGAAGCACUGGAGCCAUUGUCAGAAAAGCAGGGGUAGCUGGGCAUCUAGGGGCCUGGGUGGGCCGGGAGGUAUAUUCGUUUGCGAGCAGGGCUGUAGCAGGUGUGACAGAGCAGAGGGUUGAACAACAGGCAAUUACUUCUCACCGUGCUGUAGGCUGGAGUCCAAGAUGAAGGUGUCCUCAGGGCAGAUUCCUCCUGAGGCCUCGCUCCUGGGCUUGCAGACGCGGUCUCCCCCAUGUCCUCAUGGGGUCAGCCCUGUGUGUCCUGAUUUCCUCUUCUUAGAAGGACACCAGUUGGGAUUGGAUUAAGGCCCACCCCUAUGACCUCAUCUCAUCUUAAUCACCUCUUUUCAUUUGUUUUUUGUUUUUGAGACGGAGUCUCGCUCUGUCACCCAGGCUGGAGUGCAGUGGCGUGAUCUUGGCUCACUGCAACCUCUGCCUCCCAGGUUCAAGCUAUUCUCCUGCCUCAGCCUCCCUAGUAGCUAGGAUUACAGGCACGUACCACCAUGGCUGGCUAAUUUUUGUAUUUUUAGUAGAGAUAGGGUUUCACCAUGUUGGCCAGGCUGGUCUUGAACUCCUGACCUCGUGAUCUGCCCACCUCAGCCCCCCAAAGUGCUGGAAUUAUAGGCGUGAGCCACCGCGCCCGGGCUUAAUCGCCUCUUUAAAGGCUGUGUCUCCAAACAGAGUCUCAUUCUGAGGUUCUGGGGUCAAGUCUUCAGGGUAUGAAGCUGGGGGAACACAACAGAGCCCCUAAAAGGGGGCACAGGGAUGGAGGAAUGUGAGGGGCGGUGGGACCUGGAGCCAUUGGCCCAGCCCUUUCCACCUGCAAGGGGCCUGCGGGAGGUCCCAUGAAUGGGGGUGUGGGUAUCACUGAAGAUGGGUGUGUGCAGGGUGUGACAACAUGUGGGACAUGGGACUGCCAGGACAGAGACACCUUGGGGGCCUUUUAAGGGUCAGGGACCCCACACCAUGCCAUCAGCAGGAAGCCUCAGGGACAGGUGGCAUUGAGAACCCACUGCCCUGCCUUCUACACAUUAGGAGCCCAGACCCAGCACUGCAAGGAGAAGGGAGGGGAGCUGAGAUGGUCAGAGGCUGUUUCCAUCGCCCUAGAGAGGCAGAGGCAGCCCACAGCCCGGUUACAGAUAAUCACGAAUUGCCCCUUCCCCAGCACCCCUCAGUUUGGGGCCCGAGCUGGCCCUGCAACAUGCCUGUGUCUUGUUGCUUCUCUUGGGGUCCACACAUCCACCCAGAGUCUGGGGCAAAGUCACCAAGAAAGACCAGUUCCCUCCAAGCCAGAAACAGGAAUUCUUGAAGCCACAGUAGUUAAGAGUUCCCUCGUCCAGGGACACCACCAGCUCAGAGCUAGCGGCUGUACCUGUAGGAAGAAGAGGGGUCUGGGGAAGAGGAGGGAUCCCUAACAGGCCAGCUCCCCACUGCUCUCUCCCCCAUGCCUUGUCAUUGGAUCUGAAGCCUGAAAGCUGUGGGCUGGGAGGUGGCGUUGGCGGGGUCUUAGGCUUGAAGGCUUAGCUGUGGGUGUGGAGGGGGAACAGCAGCCCCAGUGUCCAGCCCUUGGGCCCCUUCUCCUCCAGCUCCCUCCAGGAACGGGAGUCCUCCCACGGCGGGAUUAGGUGUGGGAGAUGGGACCGGCAGCCCCUCUGAGGCCGUCUGAGCCCCGGGGCAUGAGGCAUCUGCUUCAGACUGUGAGAGGGUUCCACGCAGGUGUGUGGGGAAAGGAAGGGGCCACUGAUCGGGGUGAGCGUGGUGGGGCGUCCACCUUACAUCUCCCCCCUCCCUCCAUUCGGGACUUCACUUGGACAUUACCUUCUCUGUGUUUUAAAUUUGUAUUUAUUUUCAUUACUUUUAAAAGUAAACAAUUUUGUUUUCUGAGACAAGGUCUCUCUUGCUCUGUCACUCAGGCUGGAAGUACGGUGGCACGAUCACAGCUCACUGCGGCCUCAACCGCCUGGGCUCACAUGAUCCUCCUGCCUCAGCCUUCCAAGUAGCCGAGUAGGUGCGUGGCUGGCUGAUUUUUAAAUCUUUUGUAGAGAUGUGGUCUGGCCGGGCCUGGUGGCUGACGCCUGUAAUCCCAGCACUUUGGGAGGCCGAGGCAGAUGGAUCACUUGAGGCCAGGAGUUCAAGACCAGCCUGGACAAUAUGGUGAAACCCCAUCUCUACUAAAAAUACAAAGAUUAGCUGGGCAUGGUGGCAAGUGCCUGUAAUCCCAGCUACUAGGGAGGUUGAGGUGGGGAGAAUUGCGUGAACCCAGGAAGUGGAGGUUGCAGUGAGCCGAGAUCUCACCAUUGCACUCCAGCCUGGGCAGGAGAGCGAGACUCCAUCUCAAAACAAACAAACCCAGAGACAUGGUCUUAGGCUGGUCUCAAACUGCUGGGCUCAAGCGAUCUUUCCACCUUGGCCUCCUAAACUGCUGGGAUUACAGGCAUGAGCCACCGGCACCUGACCCUUUUUUUUUUUUUUUUUUGGUUGUAAAAUUCACAUAAUGUAAAAUUUACUGUUUUAGUCACUUCAAAGUGACAAUACAGUGGAAUCAAUUUCACUCACAAUGUUGCACGACUACCACCCCCAGCUCUCCCUGGUUCCCAAACAUUUUCCCCACUUCCAAAGAAACCCCAUUAAACAGUCACUCCUGAGCCCCUGGCCCUCAGGCCCUGGCAACCACCAAUCAACUUUUGGUCUCUAUGAAUUUGCUUCUUCCAGAGAUGACAUAUUAAUGGAACCCUAUAAUAUGUGCUUUCUUUGUGUCUGGCUUCUUUCACUUACAUCCUAAUGUCUUCAGAGUUGAUCCGUGUUGCAGUGUGUAUCAAUACUUUAUUCCUUUUUCAUGGCUGCAUAAUAUUCCAUGGUAUUGAGAGACCACAUUUUGUUUAUCCAUUCAUCCAUUAAUGGAUAUUUGGGUUGUUUCCACUUUUUGACAAGUGCAAAUAAUGCUCCUAUGAACAUUUGUGUACAAGUUUUUGUGUGACACCUGCUUUCAGUUCUUUGAGGUCUGUACAUAAGAGUGGAAUUGUUGGGUUGUAUUGUAAUGUUCUGCUGAGGAACUGCAAAACCGUUUUCCACAGCGGCUGUACAAUGUUGCAUUGGCACCAGCUUGUGUGAGGAUUCCACUUUCUUCACACCGUCACCAACACCUGUUGCUUCCUUUUUUUUUUUUUUUUUUUUUGAGACGGAGUCUUGCUCUUCCGCCCAGGCUGGAGUGCAGUGGUGCUAUCUCGGCUCACUGCAAUCUCCGCCUCCUGGGUUCACGCCAUUCUCCUGCCUCAGCCUCCCAAGUAGCUGGGACUACAGGCGCCCACCACCGCGCCCAGCUGAUUUUUUGUAUUUUUAGUAGAGACGGAGUUUCACCAUGUUAUCCAGGAUGGUCUCAAUCUCCUGACCUCGUGAUCCGCCUGCCUCGGCCUCCCAAAGUGCUGGGAUUACAGGCGUGAGCCACUGUGCCCAGCCUGCUUUCCUUUUUUUAAAAAAAGAUUAUGACAAACCCAAUGAGUGUGGCUUGGUCUCUCCCUGUGGUUUUGAUUUGCAUUUCCCUAAUGAUUAGCUAUGAGCAGCUUGUCAUGGGCUUGUUGGCCAGUUGUAUGUCUUCUUUGAGGAAAUGUCUUUUGAGAUACUUUGCUCUUUUUUUUUUCUUUUUUUUUUUUGAGACAGAGUCUUUCUCUGUCAUCUAGGCUGGAGUGUAGUGGUGUGAUCUUGGCUCACUGCAACCUCCACCUCCCGGGUUCAAGCAAUUCUCCUGCCUCAGCCUUUUGAGUAGCUAGGACUACAGGUGCUCACCACCAUGCCUGGAUAAUUUUUGUAUUUUUAGUAGAAAUGGGGUUUCACCAUAUUGGCCAGGCUGGUCUCAAACUCCUGACCUUGUGAUCUGCCCUCAUUGGCCUCCCAAAGUGUUGAGAUUAUAAGCGUGAGCCACCGCCCCCGGCCUCUUUGCUCAUUUUUAAGUUGAGUGGUUUGUCUUUUUGUUCUUGAGU
rnacentral:lncRNA from 1 species